UAGUCCACGCCCUAAACGAUGCUAACUCGAUAUGUGUCCCUUGCGGAUGCGUGUCUAAGGGAAACCAAUAAGUUAGCCACCUGGGGAGUACGUCGGCAACGAUGAAACUCAAAGGAAUUGACGGGGGCCCGCACAAGCGGUGGAGCAUGUGGUUUAAUUCGAUGCAACGCGAAAAACCUUACCUACCCUUGACAUCAUCGGAACUUGUCAGAGAUGACUCGGUGCCUUCGGGAACCGAUAGACAGGUGCUGCAUGGCUGUCGUCAGCUUGUGUCGUGAGAUGUUGGGUUAAGUCCCGCAACGAGCGCAACCCCUGCCCUUAGUUGCCAUCGGGUCAUGCCGGGAACUCUAGGGGGGCUGCCGGUGAUAAACCGGAGGAAGGUGGGGAUGACGUCAAGUCAUCAUGGGCCUUUAUGUCCAGGGACUACACACGUGCUACAAUGGGGCGGUACAAAGGGGUUGCGAGGCCGCAAGGGUGGAGCCAAUCCCAAAAAACCGUCCU
rnacentral:rRNA from 1 species